rnacentral:ncRNA from 1 species
UACCUGGUUGAUCCUGCCAGUAGUCAUAUGCUUGUCUCAAAGAUUAAGCCAUGCAAGUCUAAGUACGAGCUCUCGUACAGUGAAACUGCGAAUGGCUCAUUAAAUCAGUUAUGGUUCAUUUGAUCGUACAGUUUACUUGGAUAACUGUGGUAAUUCUAGAGCUAAUACAUGCGAGAAGCGCCGACCUCGCGGGAGGCGUGCAUUUAUCAGACCAAAAACCGGCCGCGUCUUCGGGCGCGUUCGCCUUGGUGACUCUGGAUAACUUUGCGGAUCGCACGGUCUAGCACCGGCGACGGAUCAUUCAAGUGUCUGCCCUAUCUACUUUCGUCGGUACGGUAUUUGCCUACCGAGGUUCUUACGGGUGACGGGGAAUCAGGGUUCGAUUCCGGAGAGGGAGCCUGAGAAACGGCUACCACAUCCAAGGAAGGCAGCAGGCGCGCAAAUUACCCAUUCCCGACGCGGGGAGGUAGUGACGAAAAAUAACAAUGCAGGACUCGUUCGAGGCCCUGUAAUUGGAAUGAGUACACUUUAAAAGCUUUAACGAGUAUCCAUUGGAGGGCAAGUCUGGUGCCAGCAGCCGCGGUAAUUCCAGCUCCAAAAGUAUAUAUUUAAGUUGUUGCGGUUAAAAAGCUCGUAGUU